GAUGAAGAUUUUCUCCAUAAAAACAAUUCUGAUUUCAUGCAUUCCACAUAAUAAUUUCUUAACUCAUGGCAGCCCUGUUUGCUCUUUUGUUUCGGCAAACAGCUCUUCGUUUCCUUUAGUGGUAUUACCUGGAGUCCAGCGCGGAUGAGGGCUGUGUGCCCCUGUUCCCCGCAGGCAGCUGCAUCUCUGCAGAUGGCGCUGUAUCACCACUGUUUCACGCAGAAGGCCGUGCCCACUGACUUCGAUUUUCCUCUUAUGCAACAAUUUACAGAAUCUGCUGAUGAUUUAGGGCUUGGGGAGCCUAACUUAAAAUUAAGUAAAUACGCAAACUAGAGUGUCACCGUCUUUCGAACAUGACUCUCCUCUGUGACCAGCUCCUUGGUUAAUGCCUGGAUGUUUAGUCAGUUUCCUGUCCGAUGGCGCCUCAGAGAGAAGGCCUCCCCAGUGUUUGCACGGAGCAGGUGGAGGAGGGGCUGCAGCUGAGGCUCUCUCCCAGGGUGGUCCUAAAGAGCUGGCGCCUGGAGGUGUCUGCAGGAGCAUGAGGACAGACAGGUGGAGGUUCCACACCCCCUCGCACAGCCCUCAGUUCUCCGGGCCCCUCCCUCCCAGGGCCUCCUGGGGGUCUUGCCCCAGGCCCCGGUGUGGACAUCUCCCGGACCUCCCUCUGCAGCGCUCCAGUCUAAGAGCAGGCGGGCCACUGGGCUGUGCCGCGGGUCCCAGGCUUGGCCCACUUCCGAGGUGGCCGAGGCCAGACUCGGCCAGAGGACAGCUCAGCAAGCAGGGUGGCCAGCCGUGCACACUGUGCCCCCUGUUCCAACCCGGCUCACUUUUGUUCCGUGGGGGGUCUUGUGAGAAGAGUACAGCCCCCCAUCCCCUGCCACCAGAGGGCUCAGAGGUCAGGGGGCCACACGUGGCAGCCUCCUUCCAGCCGGCCCUUGGUGGGCCUGGGGUGAGCCCCACACCAAUGUGGGAAGCACCUACUGGUAUUGGGGGACCAGACCCUGUGUCCGCUGUCCCUGGAAGGACAUGUCCCCCCCCCCCCCCCCACUGCCCCUCGCCCCGUCCCUCUGCCCUCGCUGCCCCCUGCUCAGCCCGGCACCAUGCCCACUGCUCCUGCUUGUGGCUUGGGGUCUGGGUGCCUCCCGCAUGGGAACCCUCCCUCCGGUCAGGACUCUCCUUAAGUCUCAGGAUUAAAACUUGGCAUCAGUUAAAGGCUCACCAAUGCGCUGUUCUCACGGCCACCAGGCUGAGCUGGGCUGUCCAGCUGCACCCCCUCCAGGCCGGGGACUGCCGCGGAAAUCCUCCAUUGACAGAAUUAGGAGUAACGCUCAGCGCUUGA
rnacentral:lncRNA from 1 species